rnacentral:rRNA from 1 species
GACGAACGCUGGCGGCGUGCUUAACACAUGCAAGUCGAACGAAGUGGCAAACGGGUGAGUAAUACGUGAGUAACCUGCCCUCCUUUUUGGGAUAAGCCUUGGAAACGGGGUCUAAUACCGAAUAAAGGGGGAUGGGCUCGGGGGCUGUCAGCUUGUUGGUGGGGUGAUGGCCUACCACGGGGGUGGCGGGUAGCCGGCCCGCGAGGGUGACCGGCCAAAUUGUGACUGGGAGACGGGCCAGACUCCGAAGGGAGGCAGCAGUUGGGGGUAUGGGACAAUGGGCGGAAGGCUGAUGCAGCGGCGCCGCGUGGGGGAUGGAGGCUUUCGGGUUGUAAACCUCUUUCGAUAACGAACGGGUAGGUGGAGAAGAAGCGCCGGCUAACUACGUGCCAGCAGCCGCGGUAAUUC